rnacentral:rRNA from 1 species
CGGUAACGCGGGGCAACCUGGCGACGAGUGGCGAACGGGUGAGUAAUAUAUCGGAACGUGCCCAGUAGUGGGGGAUAGCCCGGCGAAAGCCGGAUUAAUACCGCAUGAGACCUAAGGGUGAAAGCGGGGGAUCGCAAGACCUCGCGCUAUUGGAGCGGCCGAUAUCAGAUUAGGUAGUUGGUGGGGUAAAAGCCUACCAAGCCGACGAUCUGUAGCUGGUCUGAGAGGACGACCAGCCACACUGGGACUGAGACACGGCCCAGACUCCUACGGGAGGCAGCAGUGGGGAAUUUUGGACAAUGGGCGCAAGCCUGAUCCAGCCAUGCCGCGUGCGGGAAGAAGGCCUUCGGGUUGUAAACCGCUUUUGUCAGGGAAGAAAUCUUCUGGGCUAAUACCUCGGGAGGAUGACGGUACCUGAAGAAUAAGCACCGGCUAACUACGUGCCAGCAGCCGCGGUAAUACGUAGGGUGCGAGCGUUAAUCGGAAUUACUGGGCGUAAAGCGUGCGCAGGCGGUCUUGCAAGACAGGUGUGAAAUCCCCGGGCUUAACCUGGGAACUGCACUUGUGACUGCA